AGGAAAACCUGAUUGAGCAGAACUUCUGCAUCUCCUCUGUCUGCCAGAGGGACCCUUCCAGCACCUGCUGUGUGAAUGUCCCUUGCAUUGCUUUUGAAAAGAUGCAAGAGCUCAUCUAUAUCUUUGAAAUGUCUGUCAGAAAAUGUGCUUAGCAUUGGGGUAGUUGCCUAAUCCAUAUCCAUGUGGAUAGCUCUUUACUUAGGAAACCUUGAUGGCUUAUUUGGAUGACAAAGGUUCCCUUUUGGCGAUACAUAGCCAUGCGAGACAACAUAGCCAUGAAACAAACCAAGUCCACCAGUGGCUUCCUAGGAACACAUUUGCUUUCCUGAUAAAAGAGGACAGAUGCAGUUGCAGAAGUACCUGUGCCUCUUUUUCUUUUUCUUCUUCUUUUUCUUUUUUAAUCUCUUAAAUGCAGAUAUAAGAACUGGUACUGAAGCAGCCAUCUUGUGACCAUAAGGAAGAAGCCAAGAACAUCAGAACCAGUGGCCUAGCCAUUGCACAGUCAUCUAAACACACCUCUGGACUUGUUAUUAUGUAAAAAAAAAUAAACACCUGCUCUUGUUAUUUGCAAUUCAACAUAAUCGUAACUUACAUAAUAUUUAUCAAAUUGAUACAAAUAAGAAAUAAAUUACUUGGGAAUAAAAUUUCCAGUAGUUUGUCAAGCAUCUCCAAUCUUCUGAUUUCUUUAUUUCCCAUUGCAUUUUUCCCCAAUAAAUAUUCAUCUUCAAUACUCAAGAGUCUUCGUUAUGUCAGAGGGAAGUUGCUCUGAAGCUAAAAUCACAAUAGAAAAAUAUAUCCAGAGGUAUAGGCCUGUAUCCCCCAGCAGUUUCUUUCUUUGGUUAUGUCAUCUAUUGUCAGGGCAUAUCAACAAAACACAACGAAUGGUCGGAUGUGGCUGUCCUUGGUCAUGAUC
rnacentral:lncRNA from 1 species